GCGAUGUGUUAACUUUAGGAGCCUCUUGCCGGGCCGAACUUGCCGUGCGGAAAUCUGCAAUGAGUGAGCGUGUAACUUGCAAGGAGACUGCUCCAGUUCAGGAACGCUGGCUACCCCCCACUUAUAGCCAGGUUGUUACAGUCUACUAAGCGAAUCCCAGUGCCUGCCUCAAGCGACACCAUGUUACCCACACCACCACCCUGCAUUCAUCUCAAGCCGGUCUCCACCAUUCCUCCACCAGCCCACUCCAGUCACCAGCUUCCCCUUUGCUCACCCAUUUAACAUUAAAACA